CAUUUUGGUUAAUGUUGGGUGUGUUUCUGCGGUUUGUGAGGUCACCUCAUCCUAACCCGAGUCCUGAAGCAGCGAGAGAGCGGCGACUGUUCACAGGUCUGCAGCCCGGACCCGGCGUCGGGACACUGAGGCGUUCGCGGGAGAGGUCCUUGUUUCUGACACCUGUGGGAUGCGGUGGGGAGAGCGACAGGCACAGGGACCGGCGCGGGCUAUGGCCUGGAGAAGGACAGACCCGGGAGGAUGGAACCUGGGGUCCACAGGCGCCUGUAGGGAACAACGUGUGAGGCGAAGCUUCUCCUGGAAGAGCAGGCUGGGGGCUGUGUAUUCGCUGUGAAGACGCUAGAAGCCAUGGAGAGUUUCGAAG
rnacentral:sRNA from 1 species